UCCUGGAGAAAGACCCUCCUGUAGGUUUUAACUCCAACCCUGUUCCUGGAGAAAGACCCUCCUGUAGGUUUUAACUCCAACCCUGUUCCUGGAGAGAGACCCUCCUGUAGGUUUUAACUCCAACCCUGUUCCUGGAAAGAGACCCUCCUGUAGGUUUUAACUCCAACCCUGUUCCUGGAGAGAGACCCUCCUGUAGGUUUUAACUCCAACCCUGUUCCUGGAAAGAGACCCUCCUGUAGGUUUUAACUCCAACCCUGUUCCUGGAGAGAGACCCUCCUGUAGGUUUUAACUCCAACCCUGUUCCUGGAGAGAGACCCUCCUGUAGGUUUUAACUCCAACCCUGUUCCUGGAGAGAGACCCUCCUGUAGGUUUUAACUCCAACCCUGUUCCUGGAAAGAGACCCUCCUGUAGGUUUUAACUCCAUCCCUGUUCCUGGAGAGACCCUCCUGUAGGUUUUAACUCCA